GCUUCAUUUAUACAAGACAGAUUUCUAUGUUGACCUGAUGAACAUGGACACCUUUAAAUAGCAACACAUACGAUCUAAAAGGACAAAUUGUGAUGUGGAACUGACAUGUCAUGUCAUUGAAUGAUAUACGACCACAGUUUCACUGUCAUGUGAGUCGGAGUCAAGUCUAGUGACGUUUAAAACUUAUAAAACCGACUGUUCAUAUAGACAAAAAUCUUCGGUGGUUAAUAUCAGAGACUGUGCAAUACAAUAAGUUGGUGUUUCAGAGUGCUGAUCAUCCACUGUAUCUGAAUAAUCUAUUUUAUCUUGGGAUUUAUAUCUGGAAUGUCGCCACCAACAUUUGAAGCUUAUAAGAAGCCUACAUAUGAUGUCAAUGUAAAGAUGCAAGAUCCAAUCAAAGAUUACCAAGAAAAACCAGAACCCAUGACCCCGGAAGAACCUGCAACUGAUACCGGGACGAAAUGUAGAAGAUUGCUAAAGAAACGCUGUGGAUGCUGCCGUGGCUGUAAAGCAUUUGUUGUUCUGUUAUGCGUUGUCGUUAUCACAGCCGGUGUUCUGGGGAUUGUGGCCAUUAGAAAACAUUUCCACUUGGCGCAUAAACAGAUUAUUAAACAUGAGGCUGUAGUAAAUGGUCGCCUGUAUCCUGAGGUUUAUGAAGUUGAUUAUGAUCAUUCUGUUAUUAAAGUGAGAAAUGCUUAUACUGGUCUGAUAGCACCUGCUGAUAUACUCUCCGAUUAUAGACAGAAAAUGAAAGUAUACAAAGAUACCGACAACAGAGUGUGUUAUAUCGAUGCUCUGAAAAAAAGUUUUGAAGAGAGUUUGUUCCAAAUUUCAGCUAAGAUAGCGAAUCCACCACCACCAGGAGAAGUGAUAACCAGUGUUAAUCCCAUAGAAGAUAAAGUGGUAAAGAAGUUUGCUGGUAAACGUAUAGCCAAACAUUGUAAAGGCAUGCCAGCUUAUUGGAUUGUAGACGUUGUACCAACGGAUGCUCCAGCACCUGCUACACCAUCGCCAUUACCUCCAUCUUUCCCCUCUACUCCUUCAGUCUAGGAACAAAGAUGAUUCACAAAAACACUCUGGGAAACUUACAGAAAGCCUCAUGUGGACCGGAAACACCCAUUCAUUCCCAGUGGAUUUUAUACUCAUGUGCAUGUGUUGUUUCAAAACAAAAAAUCAAAACCAUUGUGGCUCUAAUAAAUAUUUUUUGAAAAUAAAAGAAAUUUGAAUAUA